UGGGGAAUAUUGGACAAUGGGCGCAAGCCUGAUCCAGCAACGCCGCGUGGAGGAUGAAGGUCUUCGGAUCGUAAACUCCUGUCAGACGGGACGAAGGUAGCGGGGCAAAUAGUCCUGCUGCUUGACGGUACUGUCAGAGGAAGCCCCGGCUAACUCCGUGCCAGCAGCCGCGGUAAUACGGAGGGGGCGAGCGUUAUUCGGAAUUAUUGGGCGUAAAGGCGCGUAGGGCGGGCUGCACAAGUCAAAGGUGAAAUCCCUCGGCUCAACUGAGGAACUGCCUUUGAAACUGUGCGGCUUGAGGCCGGGAGGGGUAGCGGAAUUCCCAGUGUAGCGGUGAAAUGCGUAGAUAUUGGGAGGAACACCAGUGGCGAAGGCGGCUACCUGGACCGGUUCUGACGCUGAGGCGCGAAAGCGUGGGUAGCAAACAGGAUUAGAUACCCUGGUAGUCCACGCUGUAAACGAUGGGUGCUCGGUGUCGCGGGUAUCGACCCCUGCGGUGCCUUAGCUAACGCGUUAAGCACCCGCC
rnacentral:rRNA from 1 species